rnacentral:lncRNA from 1 species
AUGUGCCUGCAUGUGUGUAUAUACAAGUGGACGUGUGUGUGUACAUUCGUGCCUGCCCGGGUGUGUAUAAAAGUGGACAUGUGUGUGUAUACAAGUGGACAUGUGUAUAUGUGCAUACGUACACAUGUGCCUGCAUGUGUGUGUAUACAAGUGGACAUGUGUAUAUGUGCAUAUGUACACAUGUGCCUGCAUGUGUGUGUAUACAAGUGGACAUGUGUAUAUGUGCAUAUGUACACAUGUGCCUGCAUGUGUGUGUAUACAAGUGGACAUGUGUAUAUGUGCAUAUGUACACAUGUGCCUGCAUGUGUGUGUAUACAAGUGGACAUGUGUAUAUGUGCAUACGUACACAUGUGCCUGCAUGUGUGUGUAUACAAGUGGACAUGUGUAUAUGUGCAUACGUACACAUGUGCCUGCAUGUGUGUGUAUACAAGUGGACAUGUGUAUAUGUGCAUAUGUACACAUGUGCCUGCAUGUGUGUGUAUAAAAGUGGACAUGUGUGUGUGCGUAUGUGCGUACGUACACAUGUGCCUGCAUGUGUGUGUAUACAAGUGGACAUGUGUAUAUGUGCAUACGUACACAUGUGCCUGCAUGUGUGUAUAUAAAAGUGGACAUGUGUGUGGGUGGGUGUGUAUGUUCGUGCCUGCACAUGUGUGUAUACAAAUGGACUUGUGUGCGCGUAUGUGUGUGCCAGCAUGUGUGUGUGUGUGUAUGUGUAUACAAGUGGACAUAGUAUGCAAGUGGAUGGACGUGUGUGUGUGUGUGUGUGUGUGUGUGUGUACAUACGUGUGUGUGUGUGUGUGUGUACAUACGUGUGUGUGUGUGUGUGUACAUACGUGUGUGUGUGUACAUACGUGUGUGUGUGUGUACAUACGUGUGUGUGUGUGUGUACAUACGUGUGUGUACGUGUGUGUGUGUGUGUGUACAUACGUGUGUGUGUACAUACGUGUGUGUGUGUGUACAUACGUGUGUGUGUGUGUGUGUGUGUGUAUGUGUGUGUGUGUGUGUGUGUGUGUGUGUGUGUACAUACGUGUGUGUGUGUGUGUGUGUGUGUACGUGUGUGUGUGUGUGUGUAUACAAGUGGACAUGUCUGUGAAUGGGUAG